rnacentral:sRNA from 12 species
GGCUUCAACAUCCCCGUGGGCUGGGCGCAGAGUUAAGCUGACGACGCGCAGUGAGUCCGCUGGAGCC